rnacentral:rRNA from 1 species
AUGAAAAGGAAUAGCAGAAAUAAAUGGAAAAUAGAAGCCCAUAUAGCUCCUCUCUGCCGGACGCCGAGCUCCCUUCUCCUCUGCGCCGCCGUCUGCAGUAGCGACCAAUCCAACCGGCAGCCAUCUUCUUCCACCCCGUGCACAAGGUGUUUGACGGAAUUCCCGAAGAUGUUUUUUGCGAUAUAUUUGAUACUCAGACAGAUCAUGGACAAAGCACCAUAUUCUGAUUGCACCCCCGCUGCAUUGGCAAACUUCGAUAAGUUCAUGGGACGACAGAUGUUGCAAGUGAAUGCUCUCCUGGUGGAGAACACCAUCCUGAUGGGAAUCAUGGCCGGGAUAGACGCUUAUGGCCAUCGCUACCGUCACCAUCCAUUGACCUGCUACCUCUUCCUUGGUGCCACCUGUUCUUGCCUAUCAUCUCCUAUAUUGCCUCUGUCACUGAUGUUCAGCAUUAACCCCGGCCUGGUCUUAGUAUGGAUUUCCAUUGUUAUGAUUGUUGGUAUCAAUACAACCACAAUAGUUGCCGCUCAUGCUCGAGAAGGUCGAAGCAUUGCGCCUCUUGCAGUACUGCUAGUGCAAGCAAUAUGGACAACCUAUCUUGGGGUCGACACCAUGCAAGGUCCAAAUCGAAGUUUGUCAUCCCUAGAAGAUAUAAAAGGAUACGUCACCUCGGUGUCUGUUCUUGCCAUUUUUGCACCAUUGGCUCUUAUCAUUGCCAAAUAUUUGUCAAGUAUUAUGCAUGGUACGGUGUUAGACAAUCCUUCGUGUUUGGACACAAUCCUCGUCUUAUUGUUGGAUACAUGGAGCAGCUACCAGAUAGAAGUCAGCAUGCCAAGGAAAGGUGAUGGGACGGGGAUGAACAACAAUGGCUUAGUGACCAUUGAUAAAGUCUGGGAGUCGGAAGACAUCUUUCACAAGUCAACAGCACAACUCAAGGAUCUAUGGUUUUCAUUUGCUUGGUUCAAGCUGCAAAGGUGUCGUUUCACAAAAGACACUGCCGCUGAAAUUGCCUUCAUAAAGGCCUGUAACUUCUUAUGGCAUCUGUUGGCCGGGGAUAGGGAUGGUGGAAGGAUAAGUUGUCGUGUCCAGUGCAAGUGGGAUCAUACUGGAGUUGGUUCUGAGAUGCUUUUCGGAAAUUUAUUGUUUGAUUUGUUGCCAUUGUUCUCAUUAGCUGCAUUAGUCGUGCUCUGUGAGGUGAUGGAUAUUGCAUCCUACAUCUGCUCAGACUGGACUGAAGUGGCCUUAAUGUGCCGCUAUAUGCAAGGUAGUGAAGCCUUGGCGGGACAAAAUGAAUCAGUGCCCAUUCAUAGAAAAACGCCGGUGGCUCUUGUUGGGCGUCUCGUUCCUCUUCCUGGGCCAAAGAAGAACAUCGACACACCAAGAGAGGUGAAGACUACCAUUGCCAACACAUUAAGAAACAGCAUGGGGGACCUCAGAAAUGGCAUGAGAUGUACAUCUGACGCCUUACUUGCAUGGCACAUCGCCACAAGCAUCUUUGAGGUGAGGCACCCACAGUCAUCACCAGUUUCUGGCAAGAAGAUUGCUGCCAGCCACUUUUCACGCUACUAUGCCUACUUAGUGGCAUAUUCUCCUGAGCUACUUCUGGAUGACUAUGCGUGGAGCAAGAGCCUUUGCAAGGCCACCAAGUCGAAGCAUGAGGUGCUCAAGGAUGGUGCGAAGCUUGGCGAGCAACUGGUGGGGUGGAUUGAAGAAGAGGAAGAGGGGUGGAAGGUUCUGGCUGGAUUUUGGUGUGAGGUGAUCCUGUAUAUUGCUCCGUCGGAUAACUUCGAUGGGCAUGCGGAGGCAAUUGCCUGGGGCGGCGAGCUGAUUACACUCAUGUGGGCACUACUCACCCAUGUUGGCGUUGUCAGUAGGCCUGAGGCCGCCCGUGCCAUGAUUGAUGUAUUUGCCACUUUGUCUCUGACAUUCCUUUCCCUGGAGGUUCUCUUCACUGAUGAAUCUUUGCUGGUAGUGGUAAUAGGCGCCUUAUUCCUUUAUGUGUGCUUCAACAACCUGUACUGUAGUGCUCUCCAGUUAUUCAACAUAGCUUCAAAGGACGGCAAUUUUUGCUCUGUCUGCUCUCACAUUGUUGAGUCCGACCCGGAUUACUCAGAGACCAAUGCGGCUAUAUCAAACGUUCCUGUACUCCCUGAUCAGCGGGGCCGGGGAAGAAGGCCCGCGAUGCCUCCGCCGUUGAGGGACAUGCUGCCGCUGGCCGCGACGGCGACCGAGUGCCGGCUCACCGGACUAGGCACGAUCAGGAGACGCACCAACCAAAAGCAAACGCCACCCGUGCACAGUGCGCGUGCACGGCCACCUCACCGUCGUCUACGGAGCCGCUCGGCCUGCCGCGACGAGAUCCACUGGAUGCUCACGCGGACGCCGGCCCUCCGCGGCUUCGACCUCGCCGCCACCAACUGGGACGGCGGCUUCUUACCCGACGACCUUGCCGGAACCAUCACGGAGAGGGCCCGGCUCGACGAGGAAGGCCAUCACGGCGGCGACGCGCCGCGCUUCAGCCUCGACCUGUCCCUGACCGUCUUCGUGCGGGCCGUCUGCAAGCUGCUGGCGCUCGCGUGCAGGGAGGCCGCCGCCCAAUGUGGGCUGUCCGUGGCGGACCGCUAUUUGCUGCUGCAUAUGCUGCCGUGCUCACACACCUUCCACGUCCGCUGCCUUGCGCGGUGGUUCGAGAAGGUGACGACGUGCCCCCUGUGCCGCCGCGACAUGGUCGUCCACGUUGAGGCCGCCUACGCACACGAGAGCAAGGCCGUGGCCGAGAAACUAAAGGCCAUAUACAGGAGUAUAAAAUUGGACCCUGAUUGCUAA